rnacentral:rRNA from 1 species
AUGCGAUACUUGGKGUGAAUUGCAGAAUCCCGUGAACCAUCGAGUCUUUGAACGCAAGUUGCGCCCGAAGCCGUUAGGUUGAGGGCACGUCUGCCUGGGUGUCACAC